GCAAAUAAAUUUGUGCACUCUAUUUUCAUUAUUUAAAAACGGUUGAAAAGUUUUCACACUCUCGCGACAAAAAGAUGAUUCGUGAUGGUGAACUAGAACAAGAUUUGUCCAAAGGAAUAGUGAAGUUCACAAAGUUUGGAUGCAAUUCACAAAUUUGAAACAGACACAGUUACAAAAUUUAUAAAAUACAAAAAACUACUGCAUGGUAAUUAUACUUAAUUCUACAUUUCUUGAUUAAAAUGUCCUUAUUUUAGAAUUCUGAAACAUUCUAUUACAAAACUACCUAUUUGCAUUUUACAGAUUUAAAAAAAAGUAAAAUGCAGUUUGAUUCUAAAGAUGGUAUUCCAUUUGUUUGUAAAUCCUAUACAGAACUGGAAUGUCAGCAUGGACCAAAUAGAUACAAAUAUGGCAAAAGGAAGGCAGUUGCACAGCAAAAUGAUCAUGUGUAUGAUAAAAAAAAGAUACAUGUGUGUACAAGACUCGAAAAAGCGAAACUGCAAGGCUUCGAUAGUUAUCAGAGAGAUAAUGCAGUUUCCUAAAUAUAAAGCAAGUUUUAUCUCGUGUAAGAACUAGAAGUGUAGUUUUCCUAGUUUAUAAAGGAAAGGUCAUACUUUGGGUGGCUAAUUUAGUUAAGCAGGUCAGUUUGAAUUAGAACUAAGGUAAAAUUUAUGUAAUGGCUUCUACGAUUGUCGAUUUGUCGAUUUGUCAAUUUUGUAUAUAUUAUAUUACUUUACUUUUUUUAAAGCUGACAACUGUAAAGACUUCUGAAAAAAAAAGAUUUCAAAACAUUUACGCUCUGCUGGUGUGACAUCAAUUCCGUCUGAACCGGUUGUCACAGUUCAAUUCCCUGCUGCAAAUGAUCACUCGGGUCAUCCUGUGGGUGAGGUUAGUUAAGUGCAUCCCUAUGAA